GAUGAACGCUGGCGGCGUGCCUAAUACAUGCAAGUCGAGCGAACGGACGAGAAGCUUGCUUUUCUGAUGUUAGCGGCGGACGGGUGAGUAACACGUGGAUAACCUACCUAUAAGACUGGGAUAACUUCGGGAAACCGGAGCUAAUACCGGAUAAUAUUUUGAACCGCAUGGUUCAAAAGUGAAAGACGGUCUUGCUGUCACUUAUAGAUGGAUCCGCGCUGCAUUAGCUAGUUGGUAAGGUAACGGCUUACCAAGGCAACGAUGCAUAGCCGACCUGAGAGGGUGAUCGGCCACACUGGAACUGAGACACGGUCCAGACUCCUACGGGAGGCAGCAGUAGGGAAUCUUCCGCAAUGGGCGAAAGCCUGACGGAGCAACGCCGCGUGAGUGAUGAAGGUCUUCGGAUCGUAAAACUCUGUUAUUAGGGAAGAACAUAUGUGUAAGUAACUGUGCACAUCCUGAAGGUACCUAAUCAGAAAGCCACGGCUAACUACGUG
rnacentral:rRNA from 1 species